ACUACUGUGAUUGGUUUAUCGGAAUGCCAUUAAACCAAAGCACGUUUCCCUCCCAUCCCAGAAUGCCAUGUGGAGUAGCCACACCCUCCUCCGCAGCGC